GACGAACGCUGGCGGCGUGCCUAAUACAUGCAAGUCGAACGCUGAAGGAGGAGCUUGCUCUUCUGGAUGAGUUGCGAACGGGUGAGUAACGCGUAGGUAACCUGCCUGGUAGCGGGGGAUAACUUUUGGAAACGAUAGCUAAUACCGCAUAACAGUAGAUGUUGCAUGACAUUUACUUAAAAGGUGCACUUGCUUCACUACCAGAUGGACCUGCGUUGUAUUAGCUAGUUGGUGGGGUAACGGCUCACCAAGGCGACGAUACAUAGCCGACCUGAGAGGGUGGGCGGCCACACUGGGACUGAGACACGGCCCAGAGUCCUACAGGAGGCAGCAGUAGGGAAUCGGCGGCAAGAGGCGGAAGACAGACCGAGCAACGCCGCGGGAGUGAAGAAGGAUUUCGGAUCGGAAAGCACGGUUGUAAGAGAAGAACGAGUGUGAGAGUGUAAAGUUCACACUGUGACGGUAACUUACCAGAAAGGGACGGCUAGCUACGUG
rnacentral:rRNA from 1 species